rnacentral:rRNA from 1 species
GAUGAACGCUAGCUACAGGCUUAACACAUGCAAGUCGAGGGGAAACGAUAUUGGAAGCUUGCUUCCGAUAGGCGUCGACCGGCGCACGGGUGAGUAACGCGUAUCCAACCUGCCCACCACUUGGGGAUAACCUUGCGAAAGUAAGACUAAUACCCAAUGAUAUCUCUAGAAGACAUCUGAAAGAGAUUAAAGAUUUAUCGGUGAUGGAUGGGGAUGCGUCUGAUUAGCUUGUUGGCGGGGUAACGGCCCACCAAGGCAACGAUCAGUAGGGGUUCUGAGAGGAAGGUCCCCCACAUUGGAACUGAGACACGGUCCAAACUCCUACGGGAGGCAGCAGUGAGGAAUAUUGGUCAAUGGACGAGAGUCUGAACCAGCCAAGUAGCGUGCAGGAAGACGGCCCUAUGGGUUGUAAACUGCUUUUAUAAGGGAAUAAAGUGAGUCUCGUGAGACUUUUUGCAUGUACCUUAUGAAUAAGGACCGGCUAAUUCCGUGCCAGCAGCCGCGGUAAUACGGAAGGUCCGGGCGUUAUCCGGAUUUAUUGGGUUUAAAGGGAGCGUAGGCCGGAGAUUAAGCGUGUUGUGAAAUGUAGAUGCUCAACAUCUGAACUGCAGCGCGAACUGGUUUCCUUGAGUACGCACAAAGUGGGCGGAAUUCGUGGUGUAGCGGUGAAAUGCUUAGAUAUCACGAAGAACUCCGAUUGCGAAGGCAGCUCACUGGAGCGCAACUGACGCUGAAGCUCGAAAGUGCGGGUAUCGAACAGGACUAGAUACCCUGGUAGUCCGCACGGUAAAC